ensembl:lncRNA
AGUAGAGGCAUAUACUUUCCCCUGAACUUUUAAAUGUAUUUAUGUGGCAUUCAGUCCAAUGCGUAUCGCUGGUAGGUAACUAAAGUUUUAUUACAGAAAUGUCAUCUAUAGGCCUUGUGGAUGAGUUAAAUUAAAAUCGUUGAAAAACUAAACUUCAUUAUGAUGUAAAGGAUCCUCAGUUAAGUCAAUGUAAGAAGAAGAAGAAGAGAAAAAACACAGGUCUUAACGUCUUAAUGGAACUGGAAAAGCAAGGAUCAUGUCAGCUGAACUCAAUUAAUGAAACCAGGAAUGAAUGCCAUCUUGUGAGCUGCCACCCAUCUUGUGAGCUGUUGAGGGAGAACAAGCACAG